UACGUAGGUGGCAAGCGUUUGUCCGGAUUUACUGGGCGUAAAGAGCGCGCAGGCGGCUGGGCAAGUCCGAUGUGAAAGCUUCCGGCUUAACUGGAAAAUUGCAUCGGAAACUGCUCGGCUUGAAGGUGGGAGAGGGUAGCGGAAUUCCCGGUGUAGUGGUGAAAUGCGUAGAUAUCAGGAGGAACACCAAUUGCGAAGGCAGCUCGCUGGGACGUUACUGACGCUGGAGA
rnacentral:rRNA from 1 species